rnacentral:misc_RNA from 1 species
UGUGUACUAUAUAUUUUUGUAUAUCUUAUAUACUAUUAAAGUUUAUUUUUAAAAAAACACAGAACUUUCCAUCAUGGCAAUAAUAAUUCGACUUUUUUUCAAGUUUAUUUGUUUACAAUAAAUUACAUUCUUUAAUUUAAUCAUUUUAGUAAACUGUCUGCUGAAUUUUGCUCACAAUAAAAUCAAACCAGAUUAU